CGCGUGCGUCAGCGUCGCCAGCCCAACCAGACGGCACGUGGGGGGAAGAAGGUGGCCUUAAAGGGCCAGCCGCCUUCGGCCGGCAGGGUCGCAGCUGUGAGUUUGGCCUUGGAAAGGAGGAAUGAAAUGAGAGGUGGGGAAAUCUGUUGGAGCGAGAGGACAUGCAGGAUAGACGUUAGGAAGGACAGGAGGAGAUCGCGGGUGACCAAGGGCACAUUGAAAGGCCCACGCAAACCUGGUGGCCGAGUGACAACAGUACUUUGGGGGAGCCUCGCAGAGGUUUGUGGAAGGUCUCUGCGAUGUCUCCCCCUCUCGUGGCGGGGGCAGCAGGGAAGCGAUGUAUGAAGCAAGAGUUAUCAAGAAAGGGCCCGAAAGCUGUCCUCUGCUGGAGGGUAAUCUCUGCACCCGACGUGGGGCUCAAACUCACGACCCCGAGAUCAAGGGCUGGAGGUUCUUCCGACCAAGCCGGCCAGUAACCUCAGGCUGGUUAUAUUUUAUUUUAUUUUGUUUUGUUUAUUAUUUAUUAUAUUUUAUUGUAAUUGUUUUAAUGUUUAU